rnacentral:rRNA from 1 species
CCUACGGGAGGCAGCAGUGAGGAAUAUUGGUCAAUGGGCGGAAGCCUGAACCAGCCAAGUCGCGUGAGGGAUUAAGGCCCUGCGGGUCGUAAACCUCUUUUGCCGGGGAGCAGAGGUCCGGACAUGUCCGGGCCGGGAGAGUACCCGGAGAAAAGGCAUGGGCUAACUCUGUGCCCGCAGCCGCGGUAAUACGGGGGAUGCGAGGUUUCUCCGGAUUUAUUGGGUUUAAAGGGUGCGUAGGCGGGCAUUUAAGCCGGCGGUAAAAUGUCGGGGCUCAACCCGGGCCUGCCGUCGGAACUGGGUGCCUUGAGUGGGCGAGAAGUAUGCGGAAUGCGUGGUGUAGCGGUGAAAUGCAUAGAUAUCACGCAGAACCCCGAUUGCGAAGGCAGCAUACCGGCGCCCUACUGACGCUGAGGCACGAAAGUGCGGGUAUCGAACAGGAUUAGAUACCCGGGUAGUC